CCUACGGGUGGCAGCAGUGGGGAAUAUUGGGCAAUGGACGCAAGUCGGACCCAGCAACGCCGCGUGAAGGCAGAAGGCUUUCGGGUUGUAAACUUCUUUUAAGGGGGAAGAGCAGAAGACGGUACCCCUUGAAUAAGCCACGGCUAACUACGUGCCAGCAGCAGCGGUAAUACGUAGGUGGCAAGCGUUUUCCGGAUUUACUGGGUGGAAAGGGCGUGAAGCCGGAGAGAAAGUUCAGAUGUGAAAUCCACGGGCCCAACCCGUGAACUGCUUUUGAAACUGUUUCACUUGAGUGUCGGAGAGUUAAUCGGAAUUCCUAUGGUAGCGGUGAAUGGCGUAGAUAUUAGGAAGAACACCAGUGGCGAAGGCGAAUUACUGGACGUUACCUGACGGUGAGGCGCGAAAGCGUGGGAGCAAACAGGAUUAGAUACCCCAGUAGUC
rnacentral:rRNA from 1 species